ACCACAAGACCGGACAUGUCAUAUUUGCGUUGCACGCUGUCUAACCGUAUCUAUUGGACAAUUUUUCGGCUAAGAAUGCGAUGUGGAGAGUAGCUAUGUCGGAAGAGGUUGGGAAGAAGAUGCAGGCGGUGUUGGACCGGGUAAAUCUGGCAGUCACCCGACGCCCUAAGACAUUACCGUGCAUUGCACCUAGGUUAGUUGCUGUGAGUAAAACCAAGCAUCCAGACAUGGUAGUUGAGGCUUAUAAACAUGGGCAACGCAACUUUGGAGAGAACUAUGUAAAUGAGCUUGUGGAGAAAGCCUCUCACCCUCUGAUUUUGACAUUGUGCCCUGAAAUCAAAUGGCAUUUCAUUGGACAUCUACAGAAGGGCAACGUUAAUAAACUAUUAGGUGUUCCAAAUCUUUACAUGGUUGAGACAAUUGACUCUGUAAAACUGGCUGACAAACUUAACAGUUCGUGGCAGAAAUUACGAUCUUCUAACACCCAGGGGUUAAAGGUCAUGGUACAGAUCAACACCAGCGGCGAGGAAAACAAACAUGGCCUGAAUCCUGAUGAAACUGUUGAUACAGUGAAGCACAUUGUAUCUAAUUGCCCUGCUUUGGUCUUCUCUGGACUCAUGACUAUUGGUCGUUAUGGUUAUGAUCUCAGUGAAGGCCCCAAUCCAGAUUUUCAGAUCUUGAUAAUGCGUCGUGAAGAGGUGUGUGAGUGUCUAAAACUUCCACUGGAACAUGUUGAGCUCAGUAUGGGCAUGUCCACAGACUUUGAACAUGCGAUUGAGGUAGGCUCCACUAAUAUCCGUGUUGGUAGCACCAUUUUUGGAACACGUGAAUAUCCAAACACACCUAGCCCCAGCCCAGAAAAGAAGCCAGAGGUAACAUCUGCAGAAUCAGCAAAGAAGAUGGAACAUCUUACAGUAAAAGAGCAUUAAAUAAUAGAAACAGUGAUACACACUUAAUCCAGAUGGUUUAAGUGAACCCAGCCAUAUGAAAAUUAAAUAUAGACCUGGUCUUCCUAGGAAAUGACCAGGCAGAAAAUGUGAAGGUCUCAAAAAAGGGCAGUAAAUCUCCAGUAAAAGCCAUUCAGCUGGUAGAACAUCUAGCAACUAAAUAAGGUCUGUUACAUGUUUAUUGGGGGACCUUUAUUGGAUGCAAAGCAUCACAUCAGCAAUUUUCUGUUAAUAUUUGAUGUGAUUUGACUCUCAUGUGAUUUGAGAGUAUUUUAGUUUUCAUUUUAUUCAAAUUUAAAAAAACCUCCCAACAUUUUCAGAAUUCGUGUGUGUGUGUGUGCACGCAUGCUAGAGUACACAAUAUUCAUGGUCUGGAAUAACAUUUUUUGAUCAUACGUAGUCACAAGUUUAUACAGUCUGAUCAAACCAAGACACAUUUCUAGCCUAAAUCAUAUGAUAUAUCUGCUCAAUUUGCUAAGCAAUUUAUUUUUUUUACUAAAUAAAAUCUCUCUCUCUCACUAUGUAAAAUAAAAACCACAAUCUUUACAGCAGCAGGGGUGGAAAUAUUUAGGUAAGGUUAUUAUAUAUAUUUCCAGACCUGAUUGAUCCAUCUUGAUGCCCUACCCCUGGUUGGAGUCUCAUCUUGUCUGGUGUUGCACUCAGAAAUUACCCAGACCUAUUAGUUCCUCAGGACCUCUUGGGUCCACUCGGCUGUAUACCAUUGUAGAAAGGACUUUAUUUACAUUAUUUACUGUCCAGUGUCACCCAAAUGAGGAUGGGUUCCCUUCUAAGCGUGAUUCAGGUGGAAUUGGAAUUAUGCAACCAAGAGCUCCUGAGGAACUAAUAGGUCAGUGUAAUUUCUGAGUUCAUAACAGAAUUAACACUAAUUCCUUCCUGUCUAUGUCUUCAAAUUUUCACUGAUGAAGACCUGAGCACAAAACUGAAACGGCAGGUCUGGAAAAAGGAACCCAUGAGUGGUAGGGACAGAGAGAGAAUUAUUAGGUAUGCUUGUAAUCAUGUGAUGGUUAAAGACUAAGUAGAUUAUGUGCAAAGUGCAGACAGGGACUCUAGCAAGACUAGCGAUGAUAAAAGGAGAGCCGGAAGAUGACACAAACCUGAGGGCUUCCUGGGAAAUAAAGCAUCUAACCUCUCCACAGUCCGCAAACCUGAGCGACUUGGAUGUUUGGAUGCUGUCGCCUUGCCAAUCUCACAAGUUCACCAAACACUCUAAGCUCAACCUCUGCUAAGAACAAUUUCUAGCUACAAACAACUUUGUCAUGCACACACAAGGUCAGUCCCUCACACAACCUCUUAAUACAAUUUUCUAUCACGAUUCCCUCCUUGGGACAACACACAAAAAUAUUUUAUUAAUCAUUAUCAAGAAUUUAACAGAUUGGAGAUUUAAAGGGCUAUAACAGUACACUGGCAUCAAUCAAGAAUACAAGUACAUUCUUUCAUGCAAAAUGGAAUUGUUUGUUAAAUUAUUUCGUUACUGCGCAUGUAUGACGUGAACACAUUUCCACUUCUGAUUAUUGAGAUGAGUCAUUUAAUAAAAAGUUGUGUGCUGUUCAAAGAAA